rnacentral:lncRNA from 1 species
GUUCAAAACUCAUAAAUCCAUGGACAAAAAACAAAAUCGGGGUAACAAACUAAAACUGAGGGAAACGCAUUAAAUAUAAGAGGAGAACAACGACACAACAUUAAAAUGUAACACACAGAGAAACGGACUAAGCAUUAGACAAAAUCCUGUGAGAAUAACAAAUAUAACAUCAAAACCAAAUACAUGAAUUUGGGAUAGAUAAGUACCGCGAC